rnacentral:rRNA from 1 species
AUGCAUGUGUAAGUACAGACUGUACAACGGUGAAACUGCGAAUGGCUCAUUAGAUCAGUUAUGGUUCCUUAGAUCGUACAAUCCUACUUGGAUAACUGUGGCAAUUCUAGAGCUAAUACAUGCUGACGACGUCCGACCUUCGCGGGAGGACUGCUUUUAUUAGAUCAAAACCAAUCGGGUGCAGCCGUCUCGCGCGGCGGCCCGUCGUUUUGGUGACUCUGGAUAACUUUGUGCCGAUCGCACGGCCUCCGAGCCGGCGACGAGUCUUUCAAAUGUCUGACCUAUCAAAUGUCGAUGGUAAGUGACCUGCUUACCAUGUUAGUAACGGGUAACGGGGAAUCAGGGUUCGAUUCCGGAGAGGGAGCAUGAGAAACGGCUACCACA